CGCAAUGCCAAAUAUGAGUACAAAAUUUCUAGUGACCAAACACAAAAAUAAAUUGGUUUGAUCUGGAGAGAAUUACGCAUGCCAAAAAAACCUUAAAACUCCAAUUUGGCAGACAAGAAGCAUAUGUACUCAGACCUACAAUACAGAUCCACAGAGCAACAGCAGUAAAUGCAAAUCCGCAUCGAAAAGUCGAACACUAAAUACAUACAUCAACAAACUCCUAUUGAGUUUCUGAGAAUUAUUAGACUAAAAUAAACAUAGAAACAAGGACAUCGCACCACUUCCUCUCUAGCAAACCAAAGAGACUCGUAGCACUAACAUGACUAAACCUCUUAUUUUGCACAGGCAAAAUUCGAUCCCACACAAACGAGCAACAAUCACUUUUCCAACUCCAAACACUGAAUUAGAGCAAAUUCCAUAUGCGUGGACCAAAAGCUGCAACAAAGUCAUGGGGUCUACAGUGGAUUGCAGUACUUGCUUCAAAAACACAACAAAAACCAAAAAGAAAAGCUGGGUCAACAACACCGCACCACAACCAUCCCAAUGACAGCAAGACACCAUUCAAGAACAACAAAAGUCACCAAUGACCUACAACAAAAAACACAUAAACAAACAAAAGACAAGAUCCAGAUAGAUUUGGGCAAAAGGACCCAAAAUCCAGACAAAUUUGGGGAGAGAAUAGGAGAGGGGAAGAAAACUAGGAAAUGAGAAAGGGAGAUGAGGAGAGAAAGAUGGAAAAUGGGGAAGCCACCCACCCCCUUUGGGGGCGACGACUGCAAACCUUCAGAGAGAGUUUAGGGUUUUGAGAGAAUCUGUAUUUAGAACUGGGG
rnacentral:lncRNA from 1 species